rnacentral:tRNA from 1 species
GUUAAAGUAGCUUAAUCUAAAAGCAUAAUAUUGAAGAUAUUAAGAAGAAUUUGUUUCCUUUAAUA